rnacentral:misc_RNA from 1 species
UGAGUGGUGUUGGGCGUUUGGCGUCCGCGGGAUCCCCUGCCCUGAGCAGCCGACCGCGAUCGUCGCGCCCUCUCGAUUGGGCCCUUGAGAAGGGACAUUGUGGGUGGUCUGUGAAAAAGUAGUCGGAUUGGGCAAUUUCUUACCCAAAAUUGACCUGCCUCGGUUCUCCCACACUGCGUUGCGGGCAUGCUGCGGAGAGGCGACCAGUUGCGGCGCACCAAGCGCCCCACGGACUGCCCUCGGGUUGCCCGUUGGGUCCUCGGUGCGCCAGCGUGCUAUGCGGAUGCGGUGGAUCGGAUGGUGGACCCGGUGGCAAAAUGCCCCGGCGUCCGAUGGCGCGCGUCCGGCUUUCGGGGCGAAUGCGCGGGGCGUGUUGCGUUCGUGCCCCCUGCCCCGACAAAGGUCGGCGCGCGAGAUUCGGAAACGACCGCCCACGCUGGGCCAAUUGGUGCCGCCUGCGCCGCGAGGCAAGGGCGUUGCCGUGCGGCCCCGCGCAUGGGCGUCGUGCGGAGGAAUGCUANNNNNNNNNNN